GGCGAACGCUGGCGGCGUGCUUAACACAUGCAAGUCGAACGGAAAGGCCCUGCUUUUGUGGGGUGCUCGAGUGGCGAACGGGUGAGUAACACGUGAGUAACCUGCCCUUGACUUUGGGAUAACUUCAGGAAACUGGGGCUAAUACCGGAUAGGAGCUCCUGCUGCAUGGUGGGGGUUGGAAAGUUUCGGCGGUUGGGGAUGGACUCGCGGCUUAUCAGCUUGUUGGUGGGGUAGUGGCUUACCAAGGCUUUGACGGGUAGCCGGCCUGGGAGGGUGACCGGCCACAUUGGGACUGAGAUACGGCCCAGACUCCUACGGGAGGCAGCAGUGGGGAAUAUUGCACAAUGGGCGGAAGCCUGAUGCAGCAACGCCGCGUGCGGGAUGACGGCCUUCGGGUUGUAAACCGCUUUCGCCUGUGACGAAGCGUGAGUGACGGUAAUGGGUAAAGAAGCACCGGCUAACUACGUG
rnacentral:rRNA from 1 species